rnacentral:rRNA from 1 species
UGAGGAAUCUUCCACAAUGGGGGCAACCCUGAUGGAGCAACGCCGCGUGAAGGAUGAAGGCCCUCGGGUCGUAAACUUCUUUUAUUAGUGAAGAAUAUGACGGUAACUAAUGAAUAAGGAUCGGCUAACUACGUGCCAGCAGCCGCGGUCAUACGUAGGAUCCAAGCGUUAUCCGGAGUGACUGGGCGUAAAGAGUUGCGUAGGUGGUCAGUAAAGCGAAUAGUGAAAUCUGGUGGCUCAACCAUACAGGCUAUUAUUCGAACUCACUGACUCGAGAACAGCAGAGGUAACUGGAAUUUCUGAAGUAGGGGUAAUAUCCGUAGAUAUCAGAAGGAACACCAAUGGCGUAGGCAGGUUACUGGGCUGUUUCUGACACUGAGGCACGAAAGCGUGGGGAGCGAACC